GCAAUAUGCAUCCAUCAAUUAUCUCCAACACAUUUUGAUUGGCAAAAACGUCCAUGUUACGGACCCAAUUUAGAUAGCAAGGCCGGCCAAUAAACAAAAUAAUGUUAUUGAAGCGCAAACGAGCGCAUAGAAAAUUUAUAGCCCAAUGAAUCACCAGAUACGGCCAUGUGAUUCAUCCCUUUUUUAUUUUUCUUUUCCUUUUGUAUAGCUUCAGACAAGCGGUGCAUGACGCACCAGAAAGUAGGGACAAAUAAAUAAACAAAUUUGUGACCCGCACGAUCCUCUGAAUAGAUCGUAUUACUCAUAGUGUAGCGCAGGCAUACAAGAUAGGAAAUCACGUGUUCAUUUGGGACCGUGAGCAGGCAGCAUAGACAGAUAAGGCGCCUGGAAUACACAAAGACAACAAGGCACCAGGCGAAAGAUGAUUAUUGCUGGUAAUAAGCCUGGCCUCGCCCAUUAUCGAAUAUACGAAGGGCUAUAAACAAAAAUAACAUUUUAGGCCGACGAUGAGUAAUAAACUUUCUAAAUUGUACCCCUCUAGCGAGAGCGACAGAGGUCCGCAGAGAUAAGCGGGUAGAAAUUACAUGUAGGGAAAUAGCAGGCAGACAAUCGAUAUGGGCUCGGUUGUCUGAGAAGGAAAGAGAGAUCUUUUCUCUCCUUUAUAGUUUUAACGCCUAGGAAUGAAUUCUUGGGUAUAUAUACUCGGGAUUCUGGCCUAGGAAGUCAGUUCAAUUCCCGUUCAAUUUCAGUUCAGUCAAGAUUCAAUUUAAGUUCAGUUCAAAGUUCAAGCAUCAGUUCAAAUAAAAACGGAAAGUUCAAUCAAGUAAAAUAGUUCAAGUUAAAAAUAUCCGAAUCCGAAAACCCACUAAGCGUUGACAACCAGGCGUCACGCAUCAGAAUCCGGAUACCCCCAAAUUGGCAACCAGGCGCCACGCACCAGGCCAGAGCUCCUAACAAGGAAGGAGCUCGAGUAAAGGCACACAUACUUUCCAGGCAAACCGGUAAUCUAGGAGAUCAUCAGAGGAGGAUACUAAUUUUUUUAAUGUUCCUUUAUAGAUUCUGUAGUCUUUAAAUUUCUCAGGGUCUUGCUGAAUUCUUUGGACCAUUUUUGCGAACCACCCUGUAUCAUCAUUGGAUGCUGUGAGCUCUUCAACAGCCCUUGAUAAAGCAUCUGCUACUACAUUGUCUGCCCCUUUGCGAUGAAAAAUUAGCAUAUCAUGACGUUGCAAAUCUAUGCUCCAUCGACAUAGUCGUGAAGAAGUGCGCCAGCAACUUUUCAUAAUAUAAGUUAAUGCCGAAGCAUCAGUGUACACUGUAAAUUUAGUUCCUUCAAUAUAACCCCGGAACUUUUCUACAGAUCGGAUUACUGCAAGACCAAGAUGCUAAACUAUAGGUGUUUCGUUCUUGACACUUUCAUGACAAUACGUGAGACGAGUAGCAAGACGUAGCUUUCUGAAUUAUUUACUUUUUGUUUGGUUGUGUGGUUCUGGUUUCAUAUCAACUCGCUGAGGAAAACAACUGAAGGAAGAAAUAAACAAGUAUAUAUUCGUGAAAAAUAGUGUACUAUAGCCCCAAUAAGAUGCCGUAUUAUUGUGCAGUAAAAGGAUGUUUUCAUAACGAAAAAUAGCCCGGACAUUGUUUACCACACUUUUCUCCGAGAUGGAGAUAAAAAUCAAGGUAUAUGCUCACGUCAUUUCCAUAGCAGCAGCUACGAUGACCGACAUCAAAUGGUACGAGGAAAUAUAGGAUGUUGAAUUCCAAAGUUAAACCUUUUUUGUGCCUUAUAUGAGUUAAGAUCCCUACAUUCAGCCCGCCGCCAGGUAAACAACAAUAGAAGCAACAUAGAGCAUACUUUCCACGUGGGUACGCAUUGAACAAGGACAAUGCUAGGAAACAGGGUAAAUAAAGGAGAUACAGGUAAUCCGCCUAUGCCGGAAGGGGUAAAGUUUCUAGCC